rnacentral:misc_RNA from 1 species
GAUGAAGAACGCAGCGAAAUGCGAUAAGUAAUGUGAAUUGCAGAUUUCAGUGAAUCAUCGAAUCUUUGAACGCACCUUGCGCCUUGUGGUAUUCCGCAAGGCAUGCCCGUUUGAGUAUCAUUAAAUAAUCAACUUCAAAACCUUUGUGUUCUUGAAGCUUGGUCUUGAGGGUCUUUGCAGGCUUUGAGUAGUCAGCUCCCUUUAAAUCCAUUAGCGAGACUUCCCUGUGCUGAACCGUCCUCUUUGACGUGAUAGUUAUCUACGUCACUGGCAGUUCUCGUUGGGCUUGCUUCUAAUCGUCUUAGGACAACCGGAUAGAGUGCAUAUAUGCGCAUCUUUCCAAACCUAUUUUGAUCUCAAAUCGGGUAGGACUACCCGCUGAACUUAAGCAUAUCAAUAAGCGGAGGA